rnacentral:rRNA from 1 species
UACGUAGGGUGCAAGCGUUUGUCCGGAAUUAUUGGGCGUAAAGAGCUCGUAGGCGGUUUGUUGCGUCGGCUGUGAAAUCCCGAGGCUCAACCUCGGGUCUGCAGUCGAUACGAGCAAACUAGAGUGUUGCAGGGGGAGACUGGAAUUCCUGGUGUAGCGGUGAAAUGCGCAGAUAUCAGGAGGAACACCAGUGGCGAAGGCGGCUCACUGGCCCGGUACUGACGCUGAGGUGCGAAAGCCUAGGGGGAGCAAACGGG